UACGUAGGGUGCAAGCGUUACUCGGAAUUACUGGGCGUAAAGCGUGCGUAGACGGCUAUCUAAGUCGGGGGUGAAAGCCCCGGGCUCAACCUGGGAAUUGCAUUCGAGACUGAAUAGCUAGGGUGCGGUAGAGGGAAGCGGAAUUUCCGGUGUAGCGGUGAAAUGCGUAGAUAUCGGAAGGAACAUCAGUGGCGAAGGCGGCUUCCUGGACCAGCACCGACGUUCAGGCACGAAAGCGUGGGGAGCAAACAGG
rnacentral:rRNA from 1 species